rnacentral:rRNA from 1 species
GUCUACAGCCAUGCCACCCUGAACAAGCCCAAUCCCGUCUGAUCUCGCAAGCUAACCAGGGUCGGGCCUGGUUAGUACUUAGAUGGGAGACCACCUAGGAAGACCAAGUGCUGUAGGCG